UACGUAGGGUGCGAGCGUUGUCCGGAAUUAUUGGGCGUAAAGAGCUUGUAGGCGGUUUGUCGCGUCUGCUGUGAAAAUCCGGGGCUCAACUCCGGACUUGCAGUGGGUACGGGCAGGCUAGAGUACUAAAGAGGGUCGCGGAAUUCCCGGUGUAGAGGUGAAAUUCGUAGAUAUCGGGAGGAACACCGGUGGCGAAGGCGGCGACCUGGGUAGAUACGUGACGCUGAGGUGCGAAAGCGUGGGGAGCAAACAGGG
rnacentral:rRNA from 1 species